rnacentral:lncRNA from 1 species
GGACUUCCUGCCAUGUCUUUUCAACCCACUGUCUUUUUUUCUCUCUCUCUCUCUCCCAUCAGGUUAAACUGAAUUGCAAUAGUCUGCCUGUAAUUUGACUUAAGACAUAGGCAAUUUCUUCCCGAGUUCUGAGCGCGGCUGACUGCUGUAAUGGACAGGGGGCUGACAGCGCAGAGAGGAAGACUGACACCUGUAACAGAAAGCUCAAAUUAAAGACAAGGAGAGCCGGCAAACUGUCAGGAGGAGACGCUGCAAGAUCUAAUAGAUCUGUGGGCAGGAAAGAACAGAAGUCGACACUCCAAGAUUCAGAGCCGGGACACUUCUGCCUGUCUCUUAUCAUAAUCCAGAUUGGCUGCAUGCAUCGUCGGAAAUCUGUCCCUGCAUCUGGGACUGCACUGCCAGCCUGUGUCACUGCUCAAACUGGAUUAAAUCAUACAGCAUUGGCAGAACAACAGUGCAACACCUACAAAAAAAGAAAAAAAAAAGUCCUUGAAAUUCGUCAUGGCUGUCAGGGGCCCAAACUCAAGGUCAGCGUUCUCAUUCAUUCUUUAAGAAGCUUUCUGACGGAUGCUAAGGUCACUUAGAGGCAAGUGUACAUCUUUCCCUUUCCCGCUGUCUCUUUCUUUCGGCUAGAAAUCUGUGCCAAUCAUGAAAACUGUGAGGGUUUUUGGCAGAAAGAAGAGACGACUGAAUUCAGAGCCGCUGGUGGGGAUUGAGAGUUAGAAAGAAAAAUUGUAUUGCAAAGGAUGAGCUAUUUGUGCUCAAUACAAUG